rnacentral:lncRNA from 1 species
UGGGGCGGGACUUCCUGUUUUAGUCUCUAUGAAGCGGGAUUUCCUGUUUUAGACCGUGUGGGGCGGGACUUCCUAUUUUCGUUGCUAUGGGGCAGAAAUUCCUGUUUUAGUUUCUCUAGGGCGGGACUUCUUCAUUUCAACCCCACGUGAGGCGGGACUUCCUCUAUUGGCGUGCUAUGGGGUGAUCGUGGGGGCGGACGGUUCCUGCGGGCUCCUCUACGACCCGGAAGUCCUCGACGGCGCCAUCGCCGCCGAGAUGGCCGACCACGCGCUCGCCUUCUGCCGAAGCCCCGCCCCUGAGCCCGCCCCCGGGAGGGCGCUGUUGUGGGAGGCGGUGGAAGCGCAGCAGCAGCGGAUGGAAGAGGUGAGUGGGGCAGUGUGUGUGGGGGGGGGGGCACGGUUCCUGGGACGCAUUUCUGGGGGGCGGCCCCAUUUUUGAGGGGAGAUGUCCCCAUGGGGCCAAGUUCCGGGGGGGCACAGCGCUGAGAGGGAGUGAUUUAGAAGGGGGGGAUUUCACGGGGGGCCCCACUUCUGUAGGUGCACAGUUAUGGGGGGGGACCCAGGUCUGGGGGAACGCGUUUCUGAGGAUGCAUUUAUGAGAGGGGAACCCAUUCCUAGAGGAUGCGUUUCUGGGGGACGUUUUUACUGGGGAACCAAUGAGGGAUGAAUGCGUUUCCGAGGAUGCAUG